AUUGAACGCUGGCGGCAGGCCUAACACAUGCAAGUCGAACGAGUGGCGGACGGGUGAGUAAUGUCUGGGAAACUGCCUGAUGGAGGGGGAUAACUACUGGAAACGGUAGCUAAUACCGCAUACCAUCGGAUGACGCCAUAUGGGAUUAGCUAGUGUGUGGUGUAACGGCUCACCUAGGCGACGAUCCCUAGCUGGUCUGAGGGGAUGCCCAGCCACUCGGGAACUAAGACACGGUCCAGAUUCCUAAGGGAGGCAGCAGUGGGGAAUAUUGCACAAUGAGCGCAAGCCUGAUGCAGCCAUGCCGCGUGUAUGAAGAAGGCCUUCGGGUUGUGAAGUACUUUCAGCGGGGAGGCGUUACCCGCAGAAGAAGCACCGGCUAACUCCGUGCCAGCCGACGCGGUAAUAC
rnacentral:rRNA from 1 species